UUAACUCAUAUUUGUAUGGAAUGGGAUCGUCUGCCUACGUUUGCCGCUAGGGGCGCUGUUCGAACUGCAUACAAAAUUGAGUUG
rnacentral:pre_miRNA from 1 species